rnacentral:tRNA from 1 species
GGGUCUAUAGCUCAGUUUGGUAGAGCAUCGGACUUUUAAUCCGAUGGUCGUAGGUUCGAGUCCUACUGGACUCA